CAGAGUUGACUGUGGCACCUCAAAGCAAGGCCCUGCUCCAGGGACGCACCCAACACUUCCAUAUCACCUCAAGGUAAGCCAGGUGCAUUUCAGCCAAGAUGGUCACUUCUGUCCUUGCCCAUAAGUAUGCCCCUCUUUCUGACCAAAUUGUGGGGAUCCAGCUGGUCCUUCUGCCCCCAGGGCUACCUUUCGCCAGCCAGCCCCCAGGAGGUCGCCCUCUGCAGAGUCUCCGAUUGGCACCUGUCUUCCAUCUCUUGGCAUCUUGGGGCCUGUCCUCACUCACAAGGACUGGGCAGUUCCAGAGUACAGCUGAGCCAGCCAGGAGGCAGAGGGAGUGGCCAGAGGGGCUGCGGGGAAGCCCCAGGGUGGCCACCUAACUGAGCCUGGGACUCCCUGAAACAGCCGAUCACCGAAUGCCAUCUAUUGCACUGUGGGAGGAAGGGCGUCUCACGCUGCAGAGCCCUGUGGGUUCCACUAGCCACUGAUGUCCAUCGGGUAAAGGAAUUGGAAGAGUCACAACUUGAAAGAGACUCGUGUCUCUCUACUACCUCUCUGUCCACCUCAGCACACCUCCACAGCCAGAACCUCAGCUUGCAGCCCUGAGGCUGGGGGGCAAGGGCUGGGAAGGAGGCCCGUAGAGCUGUCCCCUCGUGCUCAGACUGCGAUGCAGAGAUGGGGUCCUGGGGAAGGGUAGUGAGGACACCCGCAUCAGAAAGACGAGGACAGGGACCUCAACUGUGAGCCCUGCCUUUUUGUUCCAGCAUUAACUGUGGGGAGGCAGGAGGGGCCUGAGGUUCAGGGACGGUCACUGCUCAGGGUUGUGAUGCUGUGGAGUUGCUAGAUCCUACAGGAGCACGUGACAACUGGCCUGUGAAUGUGGCUGCCUGGAUGAAGGGCCUACGGGCAUUUCUCUGGACAGAAAUAAAGCAGGAAAAAUAAGCAAUUGUCACCUCUCGUCCAGCACUUGUACGUGAGGCCCAGGGAAGCUCCCCCUGUAGACUGGAUCCCAGUGGACAUGACAGAGGCAGGGCCACGCCGGGGGAUCGCCAGGAUGGGUGCCCGUGGAGAAGCCUGGAGGAAGCCCCGGGUGCGCGGCAGGAGGGCUCAUGUGGCCAGCCCUUUCCUCCCGGGGUCCCGGGGUCCCGACUCGGCCAUCUUAAACCUGGGAAGAAAAGCAAAUGGUCACACGUGCCCCUGAGGGUGCUUCCCCCACUUCUCGGCCAAUGGUGGAUGGGAUGUCCCUGAUGGGGGAGCCACUGCUGCUCUGGUGGGGACAGGGCGCCACUUGUUCUAAAGCCUCUCAGAAAAGAAAGGCAGGCAGAGGGGAAAGGAAAAGAAAUGGGACGAGGUGCAGGCGAGAAGGGGCCGUGGCCUGAGCUGCCCACAGGGAACAGGCACCAACGCCCUGGGACAGUCGCGUCACCAGGGGAAGGAACUUGACCCAACAGCAGCCCAGCUCCCGCCUUCCGUGAGGGAGGGCAGGGGCGUCCAGGCUCUGCACUGCCAGCUACUCAGGAUGGCUCCUCACUCCCCGUGGCUAGGGUGGGGCCGAGGCCCACCCAGAGCGAGGGCCCCCAAGAGUGACCAGAGGACUCAGGUGGAAACACUGUUUGCAGGUCAUCUAAGAGGGGGAGACCAGAACAGCACUGAGGGUACAGGUCCUUGGCAACCCGGAAUGUUCCCCAGGGCCCUGGCGGUCACUGACAGAUGUGGGGCCAGGCCCUCAGUGUCCAUUGGUGCACUUGGGAACGUGGAGGGCGCCCCAGCUCCUCAUUUGGUGCUCACCUCCUUGGUCCCUGAGGACAUUCUGGGGGUGGACAUCCUGCUAGGAAAGACAUGGCAGAACCCCAUGGAGGUCCCCAAAGUCCAGGUAAAGCAACGUGGGAGAAGCACGGCCAGACCCCGCUAGGCUUCCUGACCCGAGGUGGGCAGUGCACCCGGGAGGCUCAAGGACCUUUCCACCUGCUACAGCUCCUUCGACAGCCCUGGCUGGCCCUAAGACAGCCUUGAGCACGAGGGAGUCAGGUGGGUGACACCUCCGCGCAGUGACACCUCUGCCCACACCGCCACACCCACACAGCAACGGGAGGACAAGGGCCCCCUCGGCUCUGCACAGCCUCCACUGGAGUUGGCCAGUGCCUUUCCUGGUGCCCCUUUACAGCUGGACUUGCAAGACCAGAGGACGGAGCACGGGCCCCACCAUUCUGGCCCCUGCUGGUACUACUGCCCACUCUCUCGA
rnacentral:lncRNA from 1 species